UGCUACUUUCUUUGUUCUUAGUUUUUUCUGAAAGCGUUUUCGCUUGUUCUCACCCAUCUAGGGCUUUUCCAAUUAGCAGUGCAUAAAUUGAGAGAGAGAGAGAAAUUGAGAGAGACAGAGAGAGAGACUGUGUGUGUGUUAUCAUUAUUAUCGUUGUUAUUAUCUUUUUUAGGGCUGGAGGAUUGUAAUUGUAACCGGUAAAUGGUGAGAACCUCGAAGAGCCGGCAGGAAGACGACGAUUUUGACGAUGAAGAAUUCGCUUCCUCUACUCCUGAAAAUUCCUCUCAAAAAGUGAAAGUGGAGGGAAAGGGUAAUGAUCAGAAGGUCAAUGCUCUGCGGUCGAAGCAUUCCGAGACAGAACAGCGGCGGAGAAGCAAAAUUAACGAGAGAUUCCAAAUUUUAAGAGAUAUCAUCCCUGAAAAUGAUCAGAAGCGAGAUAAAGCUUCAUUCUUGCUGGAGGUUAUACAGUAUAUCCAGUUCUUACAGGAGAGGAUACAGAUGUACGAGGAAACAUACCAAGGUUGGAAUCAGGAGCCAUCAAAGUUGAUACCUUGGAGAAGCAAUUCUGGGCUAAUUGAGAAUUUUGUUGAUCAACCACUGCUCAUGAGGAAUGGUUCUGGUCACGAAGACAACAUCAUUGUCUCUCCAACUUUGCUUUCUAAUGCCCAGACGGCAAUGGAUUCUGAGUUGAAUGGUGCUCCUCUAUGCACUCCUACAGAUCAUCCCCAACAGUCAGGAAAUGAAGAAAAUUCUUCAAAUUUGCUAGUGCAGCCAAAUUUGUUUCAUGUUGUGUCUACCCAACCUCCUCAGGGAUCUUUUCCUGACCCUGAACAUUUGGCUACUCACUCCCCUUCCGAAUACUGGCAAGGCAAAUUGACUGCAUCCGAAUGCGCUGUUCCAAGCUACAAAACUAGCCAGCGAGAACAGCUGCACCCGGAUAGUGGAGAAGCUAGUAUCUCAAAUGUUUACUCUCAAGGGUUGUUGAAUACCCUUAAGCAUGCACUCCAAUCCUCUGGGGUGGAUUUGUCCCAGGUCAACAUCUCAGUGCAACUUGACGUGGGUAAAAGAACCAAUGAAGGAACUGCUAGUACAGUCAUUAGAGAGGUUUCUUCUGCUUUCUUCACUCCUUUGUCCAUUUCUUUAAAAAUGUGAAAAGAAGGCUAGAAGCUAAAACUGAUCUCUCUAAUUCUUUUGCUCCGAUGAAGAAUGAGAUUUUUAGGUACAACUUCUUUGCGUCUUAGCAAAAAUCAGAAUGUAUUGGUGGUUGUACUAGCUGCAGAGGUAGCGUUGACAGUUAAGAUUGUGCUAAUAAAUAGCUGAAAGUGGAUCAAGGUUAGAGUGUCGCCAUCACUAUUCAUUUUUUAUUAUCUCUGAGAAUAUGGAAAUUUGCCUUGAUUUCCAGCAUUCGCUCGUCUUCUGAUGGGAUGGUGAUCAAGAGUUUCCUCCGUAUGGGGACUUGUAAAUUUUUUUUGGUCUUUGAUUUUGGAUAGAGGCUUCCAUUUAAGUAUGAGAAGCUGCCUUAUUUUACAGGAAGUUAUUGGAUCAAACCUCUUGCUCCCGAAGCUUAUUAUCUCUCUCUCUCUUGUUAUUUGGG